CUUUCAGCAAACCGGUGCCCAUAAAGUGUUUCCCAUUAAAUCAAUGAGAGGCAUUAAGGCUGAGAUUAAACGGUUGAACUUGAACUAGAUAAUUCUAGCGGAAAGAAUUGCUCUUUUUAUUACG
rnacentral:ncRNA from 1 species